ensembl:misc_RNA Metazoa_SRP Metazoan signal recognition particle RNA
GCUGGGCAUGGUGGCCCGUGCCUGUAAUCCCAGCAACUCAGGAGGCUGAGGCAGGAGAAUUGCCUGAACCCAGGAGGCGGAGGUUGCGGUGAGCCGAGAUCGCGCCAUUGCAGAACAAGACUUUUUUUUUUUUUUGGAGACGGAGUUUCCCUCUUGUUACCCAGGCUGGAGUGCAAUGGCACGAUCUUGGCUCACCGCAACCUCCGCCUCCUGGGUUCAAGCAAUUCUCCUGCCUCAGU